GACGAACGCUGGCGGCGUGCCUAAUACAUGCAAGUCGAACGCUUCUUUCCUCCCGAGUGCUUGCACUCAAUUGGAAAGAGGAGUGGCGGACGGGUGAGUAACACGUGGGUAACCUACCCAUCAGAGGGGGAUAACACUUGUAAACAGGUGCUAAUACCGCAUAACAGUUUAUGCCGCAUGGCAUAAGAGUGAAAGGCGCUUUCGGGUGUCGCUGAUGGAUGGACCCGCGGUGCAUUAGCUAGUUGGUGAGGUAACGGCUCACCAAGGCCACGAUGCAUAGCCGACCUGAGAGGGUGAUCGGCCACACUGGGACUGAGACACGGCCCAGACUCCUACGGGAGGCAGCAGUAGGGAAUCUUCGGCAAUGGACGAAAGUCUGACCGAGCAACGCCGCGUGAGUGAAGAAGGUUUUCGGAUCGUAAAACUCUGUUGUUAGAGAAGAACAAGGACGUUAGUAACUGAACGUCCCCUGACGGUAUCUAACCAGAAAGCCACGGCUAACUACGUG
rnacentral:rRNA from 1 species